AAAGUUCUGCAGCAGCAGCUGGACAGCGUCCAAGUGGCCGUUCCUGGCAGCUAAGUGCAGGGGAGUGUCACCGCUCUGACAGGAGGGAGGGAAGGAGACAACACGUAUCAAAGAACGUUUGUGCAGUCUCAAAGGAGUGUCACACAGCAACGUGCACCUUUAUGGCGUCACCACACACACCUUAUUGGGCCUCAUAGUUGCCAUGGUAACAUAGUCGUUAAUCAUCACCUCUAACAGUUCAACACAGCCGUUCUCUGCAGCCAGGGCAAAGGGUCGGUGUCCAGACUGAAAU